CACUAUAGUGCCCUGAGGGUGCCCCCACCCUCAAGGUCCCCCUCCUGCCGGGCUCUGGGGAGAGGAAGGGGUUAAACACUUACCUUUCUCCAGCGCUGGGCGGGGAGCUUUCCUCCUCCUCUCCUUCUUCCUAGCGACGUCAACGGCUGAAUGCGCAUGCGCGGCAGGAGCCGCGCGCACAUUCAUCCAGUCUCAUAGGAAAACAUUCAUAAUGCUUUCCUAUGGACGCUGGCGUCUUCUCACUG